rnacentral:rRNA from 1 species
UACAGAGACUGCAAGCGUUAUUCGGAUUCACUGGGCGUAAAGGGUGCGCAGGCGGUUGUGUGUGUGAAGUGUGAAAGCCCGGGGCUUAACCUCGGAAUUGCACCUCAAACUAUACGACUAGAGCAUUGGAGAGGGUAGCAGAAUUCACGGUGUAGCAGUGAAAUGCGUAGAUAUCGUGAGGAAUACCAGAGGCGAAGGCGGCUACCUGGACAAUUGCUGACGCUCAGGCACGAAAGCGUGGGGAGCAAAAGGG